rnacentral:lncRNA from 1 species
UGUGUCUGUUUUUCCCAGACCUUACAGAUACCUUUGGCCCUGAACACAAGGCUGGGGGAAUGACCACAGCUAUAUGGAUUCCAGCUCCUGUUACUCUGCCCUAUUACUCACUCUCUGGGUCUCUGAGAGGGGAAGUUUUGUGCAAUUUAAAAAAUCAAAUCAAGUCUGGGCUCCAGAGACUGCUCUCACCCCGUAUCAGAGGACCAGUAGGGAACAUGUGACUAACGUCAGUCAAUUGCUGACAUCGGUCAAGUACUUUUUAUUCUGCAACACUCUUUCACACACACGAUAUUGCACAAAUCUUAAAACUACCCUGUGAGGGAAACAUCAUCAUCGCCAUUUUAUGGGUGACGAAACCAAGGCUCGGAAAAGCUAAGUAACUCACUCAGAGCCACAGAGUUAAGUGACAGAGCUGGAACUCAAAUGCAGGUUUUCUGCCUCUAAAGCCCAUGCUUUCCUUUGUGCCUCAGCGGGCCUCCUCCCUCCUCAUCCCACGGCAGCAGACCAGUGGCUAACUUAAUACUUGCUCCCACCUUCUCAGCUAGGCUGCUGGAAUUCCUCCCCAGUCAUUCUCUUUCAAUUUCCACAGUUUCCCUGAAGUUUACUGACCUCCUCCUCCCCAACACCCAGCUGCCACCAACACACACACACCAAUCCAGCACAGACAACACAGAGUGAACGAGGAGUGAGAAUUCUUAGAUAGUGGCUGGAGCUGUAGAGCUUCAGAGACCUUCCCAUUUCUGCCUCUAUUUCUCAGCUGACGCUCAGGUCUCUGGAACUGGGGAUCUCAUGCUGCCCACCCUCAUUAUCAACUGCUGACAGAAUGGAGCAUUAACAAUGACCCAUAGAAACAGCAAUCCCGUCUGUUUGUCUUGGCUAUAUCCUUGCCUUACUCCCAAGCACAAGAACAGAGUCCUACCUUCCUAAAGGGUUAUCUCUCUCUCUCUCUCUCUCUCUAUAUAUAUAUAUAUAUGUGUGUGUGUGUGUGUGUGUGUGUGUGUGUGUGUAUGUGUGUGUGUGUGUAUAUAGAUAGAUAGAUAGAGAUAUAUAUGUAAAAUCUUUUUUUUUUUUUUGAGACGGAGUCUCACUCUGUCCCCCAGGCUAGAGUGCAACUCCAUCUCCAAAAUAAUAAUAAUAAUACGGAGAAAAGUCUGGAAUGAAGUAAGAAGGCAACAAGAAAGGAGGGAACUAUGAGUCUAGUGCCCUGGGUCGGGGCUGGAGAGGACUAGCCUCAGGGUCUCCCUAUGCCCACCUACCCACUGUCAGCCUUCCUUCACCUGUGUUUGACUUGGCCCUCAGACCCAAGCUCUG